rnacentral:rRNA from 1 species
AACGAACGCUGGCGGCAGGCCUAACACAUGCAAGUCGAACGCUGUAGCAAUACAGAGUGGCAGACGGGUGAGUAACGCGUGGGAACAUACCCUUCGGUUCGGAAUAACUCAGGGAAACUUGAGCUAAUACCGGAUACGUGCGAGAGCAGAAAGAUUCAUCGCCGAAGGAUUGGCCCGCGUUCGAUUAGCUUGUUGGUGAGGUAAUGGCUCACCAAGGCGACGAUCGAUAGCUGGUCUGAGAGGAUGAUCAGCCACAUUGGGACUGAGACACGGCCCAAACUCCUACGGGAGGCAGCAGGUGGGGAAUAUUGGACAAUGGGCGAAAGCCUGAUCCAGCCAUGCCGCGUGAGUGAUGAAGGCCC